GUUCGGCUUGUCAACUGAAAUUCUAAAGCAGUUGAAUAGGCCUAUGUGGACUUUUUACAAGAAGAAGAGAACUAUAUAUAUAUAUUGUUUAUUAUAU